GUCCUCGUAGCUCAAUUGGAUAGAGCGUCGCCCUCCGAAGGCGAAGGUUGGUGGUUCGAUCCCACUCGAGGAUA
rnacentral:tRNA from 1 species